ACAUCCAAGGAAGGCAGCAGGCGCGCAAAUUACCCAAUCCCGACACGGGGAGGUAGUGACAAUAAAUACUGAUACAGGGCUCUUUUGGGUCUUGUAAUUGGAAUGAGUACAAUUUAAAUCCCUUAACGAGGAACAAUUGGAGGGCAAGUCUGGUGCCAGCAGCCGCGGUAAUUCCAGCUCCAAUAGCGUAUAUUAAAGUUGUUGCAGUUAAAAAGCUCGUAGUUGAACCUUGGGCCUGGCUGGCCGGUCCGCCUCACCGCGUGUACUGGUCCGGCCGGGCCUUUCCUUCUGGGGAACCUCAUGCCCUUCACUGGGCGUGUUGGGGAACCAGGACUUUUACUUUGAAAAAAUUAGAGUGUUCAAAGCAGGCCUUUGCUCGAAUACAUUAGCAUGGAAUAAUAGAAUAGGACGUGUGGUUCUAUUUUGUUGGUUUCUAGGACGCCGUAAUGAUUAAUAGGGAUAGUCGGGGGCAUCAGUAUUCAAUCGUCAGAGGUGAAAUUCUUGGAUUGAUUGAAGACUAACUACUGCGAAAGCAUUUGCCAAGGAUGUUUUCAUUAAUCAGUGAACGAAAGUUAGGGGAUCGAAGACGAUCAGAUACCGUCGUAGUCUUAACCAUAAACUAUGCCGACUAGGGAUCGGACGGUGUUAGUAUUUUGACCCGUUCGGCACCUUACGAGAAAUCAAA
rnacentral:rRNA from 1 species